GACUGUUAUAUUUCUUUGCAUUGUUCUUUUUACCUAUAUUCUGAUCUUGGAAGAAGUGGAAUCGAAGAGUUGGUGGCGGAGGAACUGUAGAUGUCGUUGUGGUCCGAGGGGCUGUGGAUGCACGUGCAGUGCAGGGAAAAAGAGGAAUGCGGAGCAAGUUGCAAAAAGAUUUCCUCAACCAGAUGACGGUGCUCAGCUUGAGGAUUUGACCUCGGACGAAUGAAGGGAUUGAAAGAACACGAGUUGUUCGCUAAUACAUAUAUAUUCCUUGUUUCUUUGGAAGUUCAUGUAAUAAAAUUGAA